AUACAUACCUUUUUCCAUAUUUUAGAUUAUUUUUCUGAGACAUAUUUGUCUAUGGCCACAUUGAGGCUUUCCUGUUGAGCCAUGUCAAACAUUUGAAUUUUAUCCUAAAAUUAUUCGGAAGCACAAAGGGAUUUCAAGCAAGGGAAUAGUAGAUUGAGAUUUAUGUUUCAGAAAUAAGACUAUCAUGGCAGUUAGAAGAUUGUAGAGAAAAAAAGAGAAGAGACAGAGAGAUUUAUUGGAAUUAAAAAAAAAAAAAAAAGCAGUUCGGGGAAUUGAUAACAAAGGCCUGGCCAAAGACGGUGGGAAUAAGAAAAUGGAUCGCAAAGUAUUUGUGACCCAAACUAGACAGGACCUGGUGACUGGCUGGAUGUGGGGUUAAGGAGAGGGUGGCAUUGAGAAGGAUCCUGAGCUUUCCAUCUCAAGACAACGGAGGUGAAGAGUAAAGGAGGAGUAGGUUGGGGAGGAAAGAAUCCUAUUUAGGACCUCUUGAGUUGGAAAUGCUUGUAAGACAUCCUGGUGGAGACACCUAAGAAGUAACUGAACAUGUGUUUGGUACUUUGGAGAAAAGCGAAAGCUUGAAAAGAAAAUGUACACUUAGGUUAAUUGUUAAAGUAGUUAUUAAGUGAUUUCAGUGGGUAAGACACCUGUUACAAACUGUGAGAGACUCAAAUAAACAGAAAUGCAUUCUUCACCGGAUCCCGGAAGCUUAUAAUCAUCCUGCGUCACUAAAGCAAUUACCUUGUUAGGCUGUCAUUUCUCCAUUCACAUGUCUGCUUCUCCAAGCACACCGAGAUCCUCUCUGGGCCUAGGGCCCAGCUCUGUCCUUAUUCUCUUUUUAUCCUUUGUGAUAUGAUAUUCUCUUUCUUUCACAUGCAAUAAAGGGCACAGUGCAAGGUCAUUAGCCAUUAAUGCUUAUGGAAAGAUGAGUGAGUGAAAGGAAGAGCUUAUGAGGGGGCAACAAAGGGCUAAGAAGUUUAGGUUGUGAAAGAGACCCCAUCUUAUACCAUACACAAAAAUAAAUUCCAGACAAAGUCAAGACUCAGAUGUAAAAACAAACAAAAAAGCUUUGUGGGAGCGCCCACUGUGAUGCAGAUUAAGGAUCCAGCAUUGUCUCUCCAGUGGUUUGGAUUGAUGCUGAGGCGUGGGUUUGAUCUCCUGCCCAGCACAGUGGGUUAAGCAUCCAGUGUUGCCUAGCUGUGGCAUAGGUCACAGCUGUGGCUGGAAUUUAGUCUCUGGCCCGGGAACUUCCUUAUGCCACGGGUGUAGCCAAACAAACAAAUAAACAAAAGGCUUGUAAGAAAAUCUAGGUGACUUUCUGAACAAAAUUCUCCACCUCCAUAAAUUUUAAGAUGUGGUGGGCCAUUCCUGUUGUAGCUCAGUGGGUUAGGAACUCGACAAGUAUCCAUGAGGAUGCAGGUUUGAUCCCUGGCCUUGCUCAGUGGAUUAAGGAUCUGGUAUUGCCCUCAGCUGUGGAGUAGGUCACGGAUAUGGUUCAGAUCUGGUGUGGCUGUGGCUGUGGUGUAGGCCAGCAGCUGUAGCUCUGAUUCGAUCCCCUAGCCUGGGAACUUCCAUAUGCCAUAGGUGCAGCCCAAAAAAAAAAAAAAAAAAAAAAAAAAAAAA
rnacentral:lncRNA from 1 species